rnacentral:siRNA from 1 species
UAAGAAAGUGCAUUUAUCCUC